CGGUAACAGCGCAGAAAAGACAGCCAUCCUGACGACUGGUGUGAGCAGCAGCGAGCGGCGGAGAGGUUCCUUCGGCAGAUUACGGAAGUGGCCUACUGCAGGGAACGGCGAUUUUGUCUUUCCUGCCCGUCAUGCCGCUCAAGAGGAAUUCCAGCUCCCUCGACAGUGCCGUGGACGAGUCUGCGGCACAAGACCUGCUACAGCAGAUGAUUUCACUCCGUACGCUAUACUGUCUCAACAGCUCGGCAGCACUCCCGCCGUCCCCGGACACCCGCUGCGCACGAACGUGACUGUACACUGUACCGACGGUUUCCAGCCACAGCGACACCAGGUCAAGAGUUCCUCAUCGACUUGGACGUUUGCCAGACGACUGUCCUAGUCACCGACGAGGGCGUCCGGCUCUGAUACAGUCCGCAACUCCUGAUUGACUGUCGUUCCGGUGACAUUUUGCACUUGUCAGACGUUUGAAAAAAUGGGAGGGACUGUGGCAAUGUGUUAUCACUGAUAGCCCCCCCCCCCCCCCCCCCCUCCUACACGUGCAGUCUCCCUUCUUUGGGAGGGAACCUGAAGCUCCGGACCGCUAUGCGAGCGCGUAAAAGAAAUGAAUCUUGACGACGUCGUCAAGGUCUAUUUCUUUUACGUUUCUUUCUUUCUUGCGUUUUCGCUGCCAGCAACAGCACACUGUUGCUGGCAGCGGACAGUUUACGACGCCGUGGUCCCCUGCAGGGAACGGCGGUGUGAGCAAAUGAACAUGCUGUUGUUUGA